GUACUGCCUACUGCGGCCCCAACCGUGCGCGCUCGCUGCGUACCUGGCAGAGUACUUUACUGCCGCUUAUGAUAGGCAGGAGCGUGGUAGGCUCUACGGCGGGUCCUACGUUAUCGCGAUGGCAUGCUUUUUAAGGAUCGUGCCCGAGAGUGACCCGCUGCUAUCCCCGGCCAUUCUAUCGACUAGAUUAAGUCGAGCAUCAGUAUCGAGCAUGCGUUUGACACACCAGUUUGACGGGAUUGGCCUGUGGUUCCGGACGCGCGAUUACCAGGUUAGGGACGGAGUACUAGCGCCUCCGACUGUUCAGGUUGCGGCUCGACGGGCUCAGCGUGAGGCUCUAGGUCUGGAUCAGCCUGAGGAUCAGGUUCAGCCUCCGCCUUCGCCGCAUUUGCCUCCAACUGAUCACGUCUUUAACGACGAAAUCCCACCAUCGCCGCUGCCACCACCUCCACACCCGCCGCAGUACCCACAGAACGUCUAUGCAGACCUCCCUCCUGCUGCGCAAGCGGUGGAUCAGGACUUCGAUCGACGCCUCCGACGUUCUAAGCGAUACCAGAUGUGGAUGAUAGAGACGCUGAUGGAGCUUCGGGCUCACGCGGGAUUGCCGCCCCAUCCACUGCCACCGUCCCCACCGCCAGAAGAGCAGUAGC
rnacentral:lncRNA from 1 species